rnacentral:rRNA from 1 species
GCAGAGCACUCCUCGGGAGGCAGCAGUGGGGAAUAUUGCACAAUGGGCGCAAGCCUGAUGCAGCCAUGCCGCGUGUAUGAAGAAGGCCUUCGGGUUGUAAAGUACUUUCAGCAGUGAGGAAGGUGGAUAUGUUAAUAGCAUAUUCAUUUGACGUUAGCUGCAGAAGAAGCACCGGCUAACUCCGUGCCAGCAGCCGCGGUAAUACGGAGGGUGCGAGCGUUAAUCGGAAUUACUGGGCGUAAAGCGCAUGCAGGUGGUUUGUUAAGUCAGAUGUGAAAGCCCGGGGCUCAACCUCGGAAUUGCAUUUGAAACUGGCAAACUAGAGUACUGUAGAGGGGGUAGAAUUUCAGGUGUAGCGGUGAAAUGCGUAGAGAUCUGAAGGAAUACCGGUGGCGAAGGCGGCCCCCUGGACAGAUACUGACACUCAGAUGCGAAAGCGUGGGGAGCAAACAGGAUUAGAUACCCUGACAG